AUUGAACGCUGGCGGCAGGCCUAACACAUGCAAGUCGAACGGUAACAGGAAGAAGCUUGCUUCUUUGCUGACGAGUGGCGGACGGGUGAGUAAUGUCUGGGAAACUGCCUGAUGGAGGGGGAUAACUACUGGAAACGGUAGCUAAUACCGCAUAACGUCGCAAGACCAAAGAGGGGGACCUUCGGGCCUCUUGCCAUCGGAUGUGCCCAGAUGGGAUUAGCUAGUAGGUGGGGUAACGGCUCACCUAGGCGACGAUCCCUAGCUGGUCUGAGAGGAUGACCAGCCACACUGGAACUGAGACACGGUCCAGACUCCUACGGGAGGCAGCAGUGGGGAAUAUUGCACAAUGGGCGCAAGCCUGAUGCAGCCAUGCCGCGUGUAUGAAGAAGGCCUUCGGGUUGUAAAGUACUUUCAUCGGGGAGGAAGGGAGUAAAGUUAAUACCUUUGCUCAUUGACGUUACCCGCAGAAGAAGCACCGGCUAACUCCGUG
rnacentral:rRNA from 1 species